rnacentral:lncRNA from 1 species
UCAUUACAGUUAUAUAAUAAUAAAGCCCGAUGUAAACCCGAAUAAAUACACGAAACGAGUUUGAACCUAAAGUAAUGAGGCCCGAUGAUAUAUGAGCUUGAGUCAACCCAAACUCAACUCACAUGGCCCGUUUGUCAACCUUAGGCCAACCCUACAAAAGAAUUACAAGAAAUUGUGACAAGAAAAAUGAGAUGAUACUAUUCACAUAAAUAGCAUAAAGAUUAGGGGGUCAUAUGCAAUAUCUAAAAGCUUAAAAAUUAACUUAUUCUAAUCACAAAAUCGAUUGAUAAAAAAGAGGCUAACGUAGGAAUGGUUAAUGCCACAUAAAAAGAGACAGAAGCCACCAAAAUAAAGACACCCUCAAAUCAUUUGCAUCAUCUCUUAUUUUCUCUCUAGAUACCCGUGCAAAUCCACCAACCAAUUACCAUAUUUCCACGUGGGCCCCAGAAAUCUAGGCAACCAAUCAUUUAUUGCCAUGUCAGCAGAUAAGCCCCUUUACCAUUAACUUUGAAAUUCUCUUCGACUUAUUACUGUUUUCAAAUGUAUGCCCAUGAUUAGGAUUGGAUUAUUUGGUGAUUUACUUAAAUGCCCCUGUACUACAACGUGGAACAACAAAGUCCCCCACUCAUUAAUUAUUGUAUUUUUAUAUUUUAUAUUUAUAAAGAUAUUUCGUUUUUUUUUUUUUUUUUUUUUUUUAUAUAUAUAAUAAAAUAAGAGCAACUACAAAUUGAAUUAGAGUGAAAUUCUUAUUUUUCAUUUCUAUGUAGUAUUUUAAUAUUUCAAUAAAAUUCACUCACUUCAACAAUACAAUAUAUAUAUAUAAAGUAAAUAAAAUUCACAAUUUUGAAAUAUAUUAAUAUUUAUAUUUGAUAAAGUGGUUGUUGGAUUUUUCCAUAAAAAAAUACAUUUAAGAGUUUUUAUGCCUACAAAUAUAUAAUAAUGCAUUUUUUGAACCCAAAAUAUUCAAGACACUAAAAUAACGAACGAUUGAAGGGAAAAGCUAUCAAAUUACGAGUUAUUCUAUUCGAUACGUCCAUUGGAGCUAUUCUUUUAGAUUGAAUGUUUUUGAAGAGGAAUCGAGAUGGACUUACAUAAUUUUCGAAUGAUUCAUAAAAUUUUAUUUUAGGAAAAGGGAAAUAAUUAUACUACUAUAAAAAAUAGAUAAUUUUAUUUUUAUUAUUUGCUCACGAUGAAGCAAGUAGAGAAAUUUCAAUGGCUAAAAAAGAAUUUCCCAAACCUCCACAAGAGUCGAAAAAGGUAGGGGUCUUUUUGUAACAUUAAAUAAUUUGUACUGCGAAAAGUGCAAAUACAGGCAGAGUUAAAAAAAAAAAAAAAAAUUAAAAAAAAUGUAUGGUCCCAUCACCCAAAACACUGUCCUCUCCUCUGUUAUCAUCAUCUCCAUCCAUACCCUUCCCUCCCUCUGAUUCUAGAGAGAGAAACAACUGAGCCUGUGUGUGUGUGUGAGAGAGAGAGAGCGGGGAGUGCGUGUAAAUGUGUGUUUCUGAUUUACACUCAGCAUCUCACCACCUCAUCCUGACCGUUUAAUCUGAUCCUUCCCCGUGACUCACUGUACCCCCAACAUGCUAUAGUAUACUACACCUCUCUCUCUCUCUCUCUCUCUACCUUUCUCUCUCUAGCUAGCCCUCUCAUCCCCCUAUUUUCAUGCUAAAUAUAAAUACAGAGCAUUUCCCCAGUCAUGUAAUUUCCCUUUAUUCAGACCAUUAUUUUUCUUCCCAAUUUCUUUACAUAUUUUUCCAUACUUCUUUCAAUCAAGAUAGCAUUCUACCUUUGAUUCAAAUUCCCAAUGCAUUUUGAUGAAAUAAAUCUUUGAUUUUGGUAAAUCCAAGGUCAAAAUAAACCCUUUUUUUUUGUUUUGGCUUUUACCACUCCAUAUUCUAUUAUAUAUUAUACAUAUAUAGUACCUUUUUUUCCAGGGUUCAGGGUUCUUGUAGUACGCACCUCAUCAAAAACUCCAGUAAUCUCAGACAAAAAAAAUC